rnacentral:lncRNA from 1 species
ACCCAGUAUUGGUGUUUUAUAAGUUAUAUAAUAUUUCAGUGGUCAGACCUAGUAUUGGUGUUUAGUAAGUUAUAUAAUAUUUUAGUGUCAGAGGCAUCAAAUGAUACUGCCUAAUGGUCAGAGAGCUGGAUUUUUCAUUGGGGAUGCUGCUGGUGUAGGCAAAGGCAGGCAGAUUGCCGGCGUAAUUCUUGAUAACUUCGCUCGAGGAAGAACAAAGAGUAUUUGGUUCACAAUAUCAGCUGACCUUAUUGUUGAUACUAGAAGACUUGUAGAGUUAAACAUUGACAGAGGUAUGAGCUGGGACUAAGCUGUAGCAAGGGCAGACAACCACAGCCAGAAACAAGAUGGGUUUUAUAUCUCAAAGAGAGAUGUAUGGGGAAAGAAACUAUUCAUUCUAGCAACACAGAAGGAGAAUUCAUCUCACCUCUUCAGAAU